AACCUGCUUUAAUGAUUUCAUUCCCUUAUGUUGAACUUUUAAUAGAGUAAUGUCAUGCUUGUGUUUCAUCUAAUGUCAUGCUUGUGUUUCACUAAUGUCAUGGGCUCGUUUAUUGUUGUCUCUUUUCUUUUGGUUUGUUGCUGGUUUUUGUAUGCUCAUUUAGCAAUUGGUGCUGGCAUUAUUAACUUCUUAGUGUUGAGACCAAAAAAUGUAUCAUUCCAAAUUGCUAUGAACCAAAAUGUAGUUGCCUUAGCAAAACCAAAUUAAGUUUUGAAGGUAGAUCU
rnacentral:lncRNA from 1 species